UACGUAGGGGGCCAGCGUUGUCCGAAGUUACUGGGCGUAAAGCGCGCGUAGGCGGGGAAGAAAGUCUACUGUGAAAGCCCGGAGCUUAACUCCGGAGGGUCGGUAGAUACUUUUUCUCUUGAAGCUGCUAGGGGGAGAUGGAAUUCCACGUGUAGCGGUGAAAUGCGUAGAGAUGUGGAGGAACACCAGUGGCGAAAGCGGCCCACUGGAUCGGUACUGACGCUGAGGUGCGAAAGCGUGGGGAGCAAACAGG
rnacentral:rRNA from 1 species